UAAUUAAUUUUUUUAAUAUAUUAUAUAUAUUUAUUAUUAAAAAAUAAGUUUUAUUAAUAAUUAAAUCUAUUUAAUAAUGAGAGUUAUAAUUGGGAAUUAAGUUAAAUAAAGGUUAAAAUAUAUUAGUGCCAGCUACAGCGGUUAAACAUAUUUUAUAAUUUAAUUAUUUUAAUAUUAAAGUAUUUUAUUAUUUUUAAAUUUAAUUAUUUGUAAUUAAUAUUUUAUAGUGAAAUUAUAAAUAUUAAUUAAAUAUUAAUUUUUAUAUAUGAAAGUACUUAUAAAUUAAAUUUAAAGACUAGGAUUAGAUACCCUAUUAUGUAUAUUAGAUAAAAUAUUAAAUAUUAAAUGUUUUAAUCAUUAAAAUUAAAAUAUAUGGCGGCUUUUUAUAUCUAUUUAGAGAAACUUGUAUAUUAAAUGAUAAUACACGAUAGGAUUUACUUAAAUUUUAUAAUUUGUAUAUUGUUGUUUUCAAAUAUUUUUAAAAAUAAAAAUAUUAAUAUAUUAAUAAUUAAAUAAAAAUUCAAAUCAAAAUGUAGUAUAUUUAAGAUUAUAUGAGUUAUAAUAGUAUAAAAUUUUUGAUUAAUAAUUUUAAUUUAUUAUGAAAGAGGAUUUAAAAGUAAUAUUAAUUAAUUAAUUAAUUUGAAGAUAGUUUUAAUUAGUGUACAAAUCGCCCGUCAAUUUUAUUUUUUAAUAAAAUAAGUCGUAACAUAGUAAAUAUACUGGAAAGUGUAUUUAGAAUAAUUUUAUAUUAAAU
rnacentral:ncRNA from 1 species